CCCCCCCCCCCCCGCCGGUCCCUGCGCCUCUCUUCCCUCAUCCGCCUCGUCAGCUCCUCGUACCGGUCUCCCGGGUCUCCCCUUUCCCGCCCGGCAGCUGCCCGAGCCGGGCUCCUGUCACGGCAGCCAUGGCCGGCGUGAUCCGGCGGCUGGAUGAAGCUGUGGUGAACCGCAUCGCGGCCGGCGAGGUCAUCCAGAGACCGGCGAACGCCAUCAAGGAGAUGAUAGAAAACUGUUUGGAUGCUAAAUCUACGAGUAUCCAGGUUGUAGUUAAAGAAGGUGGUCUGAAGCUCAUCCAGGUCCAAGACAACGGCUGCGGUAUCAGAAAAGAAGAUCUGGACAUUGUAUGUGAGAGAUUUACUACCAGUAAACUGCAAAAAUUUGAAGAUUUGGCUACCAUUUCUACAUACGGUUUUAGGGGUGAGGCAUUGGCUAGCAUCAGUCAUGUUGCCCAUGUUACUGUAACAACUAAAACAGCUGAUGCAAAGUGUGCAUACAGAGCUACUUACAGUGAUGGAAAAAUUAAAGCCCCUCCGAAACCCUGUGCUGGAAACCAAGGAACUCAGAUCACGGUUGAAGAUCUUUUUUACAAUGUAACUACAAGGAGGAAAGCUUUAAAAAAUCCAAAUGAAGAAUAUGCAAAAAUACUAGAAGUUGUUAGCAGGUACGCCAUCCAUAACUCGGGCAUCAGCUUUUCAGUUAAAAAGCAAGGUGAUACCAUGUCAGAUGUUAGAACCUUAUCAAAUGCCUCAACAGUGGACAACAUUAGGUCCAUCUUUGGAAAUGCUGUUAGCAGGGAACUGAUAGAAGUGGCUUGUGAAGAUGCAAGUCUGGCCUUUAAAAUGAAAGGCUACAUCACAAAUGCAAACUACUCUGUGAAGAAAUGUACAUUUUUACUCUUCAUAAACCAUCGAUUGGUAGAAUCAGCCGCUUUGCGGAAAGCCAUAGAAACUGUGUAUGCUGCUUAUUUGCCAAAAAGUACACAUCCAUUCCUAUACUUAAGCCUGGAAAUAGACCCCCAGAAUGUCGAUGUAAAUGUGCACCCUACAAAACAUGAGGUCCAUUUCCUUCAUGAAGAUAGUAUUCUAGAGCGUGUGCAACAACAUGUAGAGAGCAAUUUAUUGGGCUCUAAUUCUUCAAGGCUGUACUUCACUCAGACAUUGCUUCCAGGGGCCAACUGUUCUUCCAGUGAGGUUGUAAAAGCAUCAGCAAACUCUUCUGCGGUUACCAAAGGAACCGGUGAUAAAGUUUACGCACAUCAGAUGGUCCGCACUGAUUCCCGAGAACAGAAAUUGGAUGCUUUUCUUCAGCCAGUGAACAACCUCCUAAGUACAGGCCCCAGUGAAGUGAUGACAGAGGUUAAUGCAGGACCUCCAGAGGGUGCGGUCAGGCCACAGGAUGCUGAAAUGGAAGAUGUCAGUGAUCUAGUUGAAAUAGCUGAUGUUCGGGAGGACGCAGUGAUGCCUGGGGGGCUGAGUGAGAGUGGACACUUGUCUCCUGAGACAGUGCCUCCUCGAAAGAGACCACGGGAAGAUGCAGACGUAGAAAUGGAGAAAGUUGACACCAGAAAGGACAUGACUGCUGCCUGCACCCCUAGACGAAGAAUUAUCAACUUGACCAGUGUAUUGACUCUCCAGGAGGAAAUCAGUAACCAGGCACAUGCAAACCUUCAGGAGAUGCUACAUGAUCACUCGUUUGUUGGCUGUGUCAGUCCUCAGUGGGCUCUGGCCCAAUAUCAGACAAAACUGUAUCUUCUCAAUACAACAAAACUCAGCCAAGAACUCUUCUACCAGAUACUUAUUUACGACUUUGCAAACUUUGGAGUCUUAAGGUUGUCUGAGCCAGCUCCUUUAUAUGAGCUUUCGAUGCUUGCUUUAGAGGAUCCUGAAAGUGGCUGGACAGAAGAUGAUGGCCCAAAAGAAGGACUUGCAGAGUACAUUGUGGAGUUUCUGAAAAAGAAGACUGAAAUGUUGAAAGAUUAUUUUUCGCUUGAAAUUGAUGAGCAGCAGCAUUGCCUUGCAGGAAGGAAACCUUAUUGGGUUACCACUUCUGAUAGACAACUAUGUUCCACCACUGGAAGGACUGCCUAUGUUUAUUCUUCGCUUGGCCACAGAGGUAAACUGGGAUGAAGAAAAGGAGUGUUUUGAAAGCCUAAGUAAAGAAUUAGCUAUGUUCUACUCCAUUAGAAAGCAAUACAUAAUAGAUGAAGCCAAUGUGACAAACUCUCAGAAUGAAGAUUCUGACUGUGGUUCAACAACAUGGAAAUGGACUGUGGAACAUGUACUUUACAAAGCUUUUAGGACUCAUCUUUUACCUCCCAAACACUUCACAGAAGAUGGCAACAUUUUGCAGCUUGCUAACCUGCCUGACCUGUAUAAAGUUUUUGAGAGAUGUUGAGCAAGUAUUGAUGAUAGACUGGUGCAUAUCUAAAAAACAUUCACCCUACAUUGUUUUACUUAGUAGAGGAUAAACCUGGAAUCUUGAUGGAAGAAAGAAAAAGAAGGGAUUUAAUAUCAUACUAACAUGACAGCAAAUUGUCUGUUUUCCUUCUGUUGCUCAAAAAAUAAAAAGAAUCAUUUUGACUAUGUCUAAACCCAGCUGAAGUUCCAAAAAUAAAAUUUCCACUUAUGCUUUGA